GACGAACGCUGGCGGCGUGCUUAACACAUGCAAGUCGAACGGAAAGGCCCUGCUUUUGUGGGGUGCUCGAGUGGCGAACGGGUGAGUGACACGUGAGUAACCUGCCCUUGACUUUGGGAUAACUUCAGGAAACUGGGGCUAAUACCGGAUAGGAGCUCCUGCUGCAUGGUGGGGGUUGGAAAGUUUCGGCGGUUGGGGAUGGACUCGCGGCUUAUCAGCUUGUUGGUGGGGUAGUGGCUUACCAAGGCUUUGACGGGUAGCCGGCCUGAGAGGGUGACCGGCCACAUUGGGACUGAGAUACGGCCCAGACUCCUACGGGAGGCAGAAGUGGGGAAUAUUGCACAAUGGGCGGAAGCCUGAUGCAGCAACGCCGCGUGCGGGAUGACGGCCUUCGGGUUGUAAACCGCUUUCGCCUGUGACGAAGCGUGAGUGACGGUAAUGGGUAAAGAAGCACCGGCUAACUACGCG
rnacentral:rRNA from 1 species